GAUUUCUGGUUCGGCGCACUUGGCCCGUCUCGGUUUACGGGAUUGUGUGCCGGUGUGCGCCAUCCAUCCUUCGAGAGAACACUUCUACCCUUCACUGGGUCGGGAGUGCUAUCUCGAUCUUUUACUUUGAAAAAAUUAGAGUGUUUAAAGCAGGCUUGCGCUAUGAAUACAUUAGCAUGGAAUAAUAAUUUAGGACUUUGGUCUUAUUUUGUUGGUUUCUAGGACUAAAGUAAUGAUUGAUAGGGAUAGUUGGGGGUGCUAGUAUUGGCCGGCCAGAGGUGAAAUUCUUGGAUUCGGUCAAGACUAACUUAUGCGAAAGCAUU
rnacentral:rRNA from 1 species